UACGUAGGUGGCGAGCGUUGUCCGGAUUUAUUGGGCGUAAAGAGCGUGUAGGCGGCCAGGUAGGUCAGCUGUGAAAACUCGAGGCUCAACCUCGAGCUGUCGGCUGAAACCAUCUGGCUAGAGUCCGGAAGAGGAGAAUGGAAUUCCCGGUGUAGCGGUGAAAUGCGCAGAUAUCGGGAAGAACACCCGUGGCGAAGGCGGUUCUCUGGGACGGUACUGACGCUGAGACGCGAAAGCGUGGGGAGCGAACAGG
rnacentral:rRNA from 1 species